rnacentral:tRNA from 1 species
GAGGGUAGAGCUCAGUGGUAGAGCGUGUGCUUAGCAUGCACAAGGUCCUGGGUUCAAUCCCCAGUCCCUCCA